rnacentral:rRNA from 1 species
UACGUAGGGAGCAAGCGUUGUCCGGAAUCAUUGGGCGUAAAGCUCGCGUAGGCGGCCCCGUAAGUCCGCUGUGAAAGUCAAAGGCUCAACCUUUGAAAGCCGGUGGAUACUGUGGGGCUAGAGUCCGGAAGAGGCGAGUGGAAUUCCUGGUGUAGCGGUGGAAUGCGCAGAUAUCAGGAGGAACACCGGUGGCGAAGGCGGGUCUCUGGGCCGAUACUGACGCUGAGGAGCGAAAGCGUGGGGAGCAAACAGG